CUCUAGGCAAUAUCAGUGGUAGCAUUUUAAUUCUGCACAGUGAGCUAUGUAGUAGAUUUGCUGUCACUUGUGAUGUAACUCUUUUGAUGUGAAUCCUAAGUGAUGCAAUUUGUGCUUUGGGUGCAGGGGAGGCUGCUGAUGGGGGCUAACCUGGCUAUCGAGGGACAUGCUAGCGAGAUAUGCACAAGGGCAAUGUUUGGGCGUAUAUUUUAUGAGUGUGGCGCAUACCAGGUUUUAUAUGCGAAGAAGAACAGAUCAUAUCUUGCAAUGAUGGAGGGUGGGGAUGACUUUGACUGUGAGUGUGGGCAGUUCGCCCACAUGGGUAUACUACACACCCAUGUUUUUGAGGUAUUGUUUUCCUUAAAUUAGUAUAGUUUACAGUACUAGCAAUGCAAAUGUGGAGGGUUGGUACCAAAAAAUGAACAAUGUUGUUUUUAGAAAAUGUGGGUACUGGACUUUAUCCAUGUGAAGCAGAUCCCCGAGACACACAUACUAGCAUAGCACUAGUGAAAAUCUAAAUAGUACCUACAACCUCGGAAGCUUGCUAGGUGCGAGAAUUGUGGGGUUAAGGGCCACAGGAGAAACAACUGCACAGAACCAAUGGAUCUGAGAUUAGGGGGUGUCUGAUGCUGGUGUGAAGUGCAUGGCUGCAGCAGCAGCAUCAGUUCUGACUGAUGAAAACCAAGGAGAGCAAGGGUGUAAUCUAAAGAUAUGUUGAUGUGUUCUGGGCAUUUUCUAUUUAUGUUGUACUCAUGUACUGUGUGGUACCGUCCGGCAGUGAGGCUGGCUAUGGAUGUAUCUAUGCAGUGCAUUUCCAGGAUCAGGUGUUUCGAUGUAGAAUUAUUGUUAUUUUCACGUGAUCCAUGGCCCCACCUGGUGUGUGUGAUGCCGGUGACUAGAGUGGCAUGUUGCCUGUGACUCAAUUGCAGUGCUUCUCUGUGUUAUCUGAUACUGAAUUCUGAUGCUUGUUCAGGCAGACUUGUGGCGCUUGUUUGUGUCGCGUGAAACUGAAUUGUGUCACCUGAAGUUGUAUAGAGAAUAUCUAAAAUAAGUGGAAUCAGGGGUGAUGUGAUCAUUCGGCGUUGGGUAGCAUCAA
rnacentral:lncRNA from 1 species